GACAGAAUGCCUUCUGAGACUGGCCUUGGCAGAACUCUGUAGCCAAUAUACUGACAAAGAGAAGAUAGCAUGGAAAGUGAAGCCGUUCACAACUUACAUGGAAUCUAUGGAUCUACAGCAGAAUCACUUCCUAUAUCAUCUGCCAAUAUUUUCACUUUUGGGAAAAUAUAAUUAUCAUACCUCCAAGCACACACAGGGCUGAUCUUUGGAACAUUUCUUCACUGUCAGAAGAACAGGCUGAAAACAGGGAGAAGAACUAACUGCUACUGCCAGCAUUCCUGAUGCUUUGUCUACUGAAAUUUCCUAGGACUGGUGGAGCUGCACUGGUAUCACAGAAGGCAGUCUUUGUUGAGAGAGGAAAAAAUGCACCACAGAAGAGCGUGUUGAUUUCCUUGUAUCAUCGACCCCUCCUCAAAGGUAACAUUCGUACCUGUUAUCGCACAUUUGGAAGACUUAACACGUAACCUUCAAUAUUGCUUUUGUAUAAUUUUCCCAGUAAUACCUUUUCAUCAAAAUAGUCACGAGUAAAAUACACAGGAAAAUUUUCUUGCAUCUGUGUGAACACCGUGGAGUCAGAUCUGAACACAGUGUCUGGGGCUUUUACUACCUCAGCAGGCCCUGAGGACCAGGUCACAGACAGUCGCACCACGUUGGCAGAUCUGUAUUUAUAGACAGCAUCCUUAUUUUCAGUACCGUAUGCAGAACAGGAUAAUACACGUUGAGGAGACAAGAGCUGCAUAAUGUACUCAGUUAAAAAAAAUAACUUUUGACUUAAUAGGAAACUUUAUGAGUUUGUUGUGCUCCGAACAAAAUUGUUUACCUUGCAUAUGUACUGAGUUUCCAGUCUUCCCUUUUGCUUUUACUUCUUUCUGUUCUUGUUGUUACAUUACAAAACUUUACAUUAAUUUUGCUGCAGAAAUAGUGACUUUGUAGUCAGUGGUCAGGAAUGAAGGGCACUGGCAAAUAUCAGCUCACAAAUGCCCCAGGAACAGCCUAACAUUGGCAUUAAAUCACAUUUUAUUUCUAAAGAAAUUGCGCUCUCCAGCUCUGCAGCUAAUAAAGAUACAGAAAGAACAGAGUGAUUAUACCACAGUCUCCAUUAUUUUAAAUACUUAAUUGUUUGGUUUCCUGAAUUAACAGCAGACUAAACAUUUAUUUCUAAAAUCUUUGAAAAUAGAAAUAUUUGAGAUUUUUUUUGUAGAUCUCUUUCCUAUUUUUCCUCCGCUCCAAAAAUUAUUUAUACUAAUAAAAAUAGCUUCUCUCAUCUAAUCAAGCUUCUGUUAAUUAAAUGAAUGUGGCCACCGAGGAGGUAAGUGAUUCACCCAAGAUCACCUUGGAAGCCUCGGGCAGAGGCACAUGAGAACCCAGGCAGUCUGAACAACAGACCCGAUCAUUUCUGCCUCUCUGCAGUGUUCUCACAAGAGGGACGCGUAUCAGCAGUGAACGCCAACUCUGUAGCUCCACUUGUGGCUUUCAGUCUGGAUAAUAUUCAGUGAGACAUUCCUCACACGGACAAACCGAAUAAUCUUUGUACGCUCAUUUCUAACAUUUGACUAAUAUUUGUAUUUGCAUUUCAGUAAUAUCUAAUGAGUUCCGCAUACUGUACAAGCAACUAAAACAAAAGCUUUACAGCUCCACAGCUCGAAACCUCAAUCCUUUUUUUUUUUUUUCCUCCAGGGCAAAUGCUUCAAAUUUCUCAGUUAUCCAUGCUUUUUUUUUUUUUUUUUUUUUUUUUAAUAUGUAACGUUGUAGUCUGUGUCAAUAAAACCCAAUUUACUGCUGUUACAACUGUUACAUAAAUUGUGCUAGCUGCCAUGAAGUAGCACUGCUGGGCUCAGGAUUAUGUUUUACAUUUUCGGUGUUGACAGAAGAACAAACAAACAAAAUUUGUUUGACCCCUCUCAACUUAUUUUAGGCUUGAUCCACAAUCCUCUGCUUGCUAAAAUCCACAGAGAGUCUCUAAGGAUCUCUCGGAGGAGAGGUCAACACGUAUUUUCCCUCUAUAUGAAAUACCUGAGAAGGUUCAGAUAAGUGGAAAAAUUGCAUUGAGAGGCUGGAAGAAGUCAGGGAAUGGCAGAUCCAGUCAGCUCCCCAAAGAGACUUAGUCUUCCCAAAAGUCGGAUGAUGCUUCUGUCCUAGAGCAUCAGCUGGAUCCUCAGGUGGAAAGGGUCAGGGGCCCAUAAAAACCUAAUGAGGUUCAAUAAGA